rnacentral:rRNA from 1 species
UACGUAGGGUGCAAGCGUUAAUCGGAAUUACUGGGCGUAAAGCGUGCGCAGGCGGCUUUGCAAGACAGAUGUGAAAUCCCCGGGCUCAACCUGGGAACUGCAUUUGUGACUGCAUGGCUGGAGUGCGGCAGAGGGGGAUGGAAUUCCGCGUGUAGCAGUGAAAUGCGUAGAUAUGCGGAGGAACACCGAUGGCGAAGGCAAUCCCCUGGGCCUGCACUGACGCUCGUGCACGAAAGCGUGGGAGCAAACAGG